CGCGCUGCUCAUAGGAAAAUGAGUGUGUACGUGCUAAUAAUCCAAAUAUACCCGUGUACGCGAUGCCUGGUAAAAAAGUUUUUAAAAAAAAAUUGGGUCUCAUUUACUCAUGAAUAGCGCAUUUUUUAUUUCAUUUUUUUUCCAUUUCCUCUCCUAAUUCGCGAACAGGGUGCUAGAUUUUUCCUCCAAGCUAUGGAUCAAGGUUAGUUUUUGUUUAUUUUUGUCUUUCUUUCCUGUUUGUUCAAUUUGUUUUACAUUUUGAAUUUAAUUUCAUUAAUUUUGAUUAAGUUUUUUCAUUUUUUGUUUCAAAAACUAGAUUCUUCUAAUUGAGAACAAGAAUAACCAAAUGCACCUCCUAAAAACCCACAAGAACAACCAAAUGCACCUCCUGAAAACACACAAGAACAACCCCUAAUUCCUCCUUUUGACCGUACACCCGAAACACAAGAGCAAUUAAUUAAUCAAUUAGGACAAAAUACGUCUGAAAUCAAUAGACUGAUUGUUAAAUUGAAAACUUCUAAACUUGAGCAUCAUCAAUCCUUCGCCACUAGCCUAGAAACAUUAGCUAGUGGUGCCAUAGUUGUUUCCACACAAAUUACCAAAUGGGGAAGCUUUAGGGAUAGGUGUCAUCAAUUCUAUGCCGAUGGGCUAUCAUACAAUGGAGUAAAAAACAAAAAUAUUACUAAACAACAAAUAUGUGCCCUUUUCAUUGAUCCCAAAACUAGUCAGUCAUUACCUCUUAAAGCAAAGAGGCUUCCCAUACAUUGGUGUACCAGUGUGCAAAUGAAGAAUCUUUUUUGGCAAAGGUGGUGGAUGGUCUUUGAUGAUCCACCUUGUAAUAAUUAUGAGGUGCCAUUAUAUUUUUUGAGAAAAGUAUAUUGUGAGUUUGUGUUCAAUGUGCACCCAAACUAUUUUGACAUGAGAGAGUUCCAUGAUAGAGGUGGUGGCUCUACCCAAGAUAGGCCUGGAGCCCGUAGGCGAUUACCCGCAGAGAGUCGUCGCCGCCUAGCACCCAAACCCAAGGUGCAUCAGGCUGUCCCAGUAGAGCUGAAAGAGUCAAUGGGGCUACAGACUCUUCAGGCGACCACAACAUUGACUGGUGUCAUCAUCUAGCAUGGGACAUCAUUAGGACACCCUAUUGUAUUGGAUGAUGAGCCAUUAGGUGGUGACGAAGAGCCCAUCCAGCAUAUAUGUGUCAGUUGCUUGGGGAUAUGCUCAGGGAUAGAUGAUGCAGCCGGUGCAGAUGGAUCCUCAUCUCAUCUGUGCACGAUUUGCGGGAGUAGAUGUCAGGCCCACACGGUUGAGGAUUUCACACUGAUAGGUGAGUUGAUGGACAUGGUGUUUGCCCAUGAGCCACAGACACAGGUGUGUUGAUUUGAAUUCAUAGUAUUUUAUUUAUCAGUCACUUUAAAUUUGUAAUUAUAUAAAUGAAUUUUCAUUUAUACAUCGAUUUAAUUGAGACAAAUAAUAUGCAUUUCAGGAUGCAGCAACGGUAUCCCAUAUUUCUCCCCCAGUUACUAUAGUUGCAACUUCGAUGCCUGAGAUGUUGACAGGGGACGAAAUGUCCCAGAUUGAUGACAUCACACUCUCAACGAUCGAUUUUGGCCUACAAGGCUAUACGGGUACUCCCUCCGCAUCUAGGGCUUGUCCUAAGAAAAAGAAUUCCUCGAAGACGCCAAAACGUAUGAAGAUUGUAAUUGAACACAUUUUUAGUUGUACAAUUGUUUGAAAAUGUUGAAAUCAAGUAUUAGUUGGGGUUUGUAGAUUGAUUAGUGUUUUUUGUCGAUUUUACAUGUACAACGACCAUUGAGCUAUGUGGAUUUGUUGAAUGCACCUGAUUCACCCGUGGAUCAAGAGAGGGUGAAUGUAUGUAUCUCUACUUUAUUUUUUUGAUUUCAUGAUUAAAUGCACGCGUACAUGUGAACUUGUGAUAUAUUAUAAUCUUUUAAUUUUUUCAUACAGGAAAUAUCCAUACUUAUUUCAUCAAUGGCGAACCCUCUUCCUUGCACUAGAGAAGCAUCUCAGGAUCCGGUACACUUUUGUUUGAUAUGUUAAAUUAAUUAUUUUUAACCUUCAAUACUUAUCAUUAUAUUAAUUGUAUUUAAACUUUGAACAUUUUUUGUAUAGGUAAUAGCGAUAGUUUGAUAUAUUUAUGUUAGUACAUUGUAUUAUUUGUACAUUUAAUCUACAAUAGACCCCUUCACAGUACGACCAUAAUGUGGAUCUAUUUAAGUAUGUCUUCAAGAAAACUCCUAAGAGUGACAAGGAAAGGAGAGCGAAAACAUUAGCUCCUAGAUCAGUCGAUGAGGUAAUCUACAUUGCAAUCACAAAGGAAUUAAAGUUAAAUGCAUAGUUAUGUUGUUAAUUGUGAACUAUUUUCUACAAAAGAAUUCUAACUUGGCUUUUGAAUUGUGGUUUUGCAGCCAUCUACAAAGUUGCGUACAACAUCAAAGAGGCUUGAUUUUGAUGAUCCACCACAAGUUUAGGAUCAUAUAGUGUUAUUUUAUAUCAUAGAAUGACCAAUACAUGUAGAUAUAUUCUACAUUUUUAUUGUAUAUCUAUUUGGACAUGGCAUAUGCCACAUUUUUGUAAUACUUGUAUUGAC